rnacentral:rRNA from 1 species
AGAGUUUGAUCCUGGCUCAGAUUGAACGCUGGCGGCAUGCCUUACACAUGCAAGUCGAACGGUAGCGGGCCUUCGGGUGCCGACGAGUGGCGAACGGGUGAGUAAUGUAUCGGAACGUACCUUUCAGUGGGGGAUAACGUAGCGAAAGUUACGCUAAUACCGCAUAUUCUGUGAGCAGGAAAGCAGGGGAUCGCAAGACCUUGCGCUGAUUGAGCGGCCGAUAUCAGAUUAGCUAGUUGGUGAGGUAAAGGCUCACCAAGGCGACGAUCUGUAGCGGGUCUGAGAGGAUGAUCCGCCACACUGGAACUGAGACACGGUCCAGACUCCUACGGGAGGCAGCAGUGGGGAAUUUUGGACAAUGGGGGCAACCCUGAUCCAGCCAUGCCGCGUGAGUGAAGAAGGCCUUCGGGUUGUAAAGCUCUUUCGGCCGGGAAGAAAUCGCAUGGGUUAAUACCCUGUGCGGAUGACGGUACCGGC